rnacentral:rRNA from 5 species
CCCGAAGCCGGUGGCCCAACCCCUUGUGGGAGGGAGCUGUCGAAGGUGGGACUGGCGAUUGGGACGAAGUCGUAACAAGGUAGCCGUACCGGAAGGUGCGGCUGGAUCACCUCCUUUCUAAGGAG